rnacentral:SRP_RNA from 1 species
GCAGCCGGGGCGUUAGCGGUGCCCUGUACCUGCAAUCCGCUAUAGCAGGGGUGAUGCGCCGGCUGAGGGCUUUGGCUGAUACAGCUGCCCUUUAUAAGUGGCGUUGAAGUCCGGGUCUUACGCAAUGGAUGCCUGUGAACCGUGUCAGGUUGGGAACAAAGCAGCACUAAACAGGAUUUUUCAUGUGCCGUGAGGGCGCCUGGACUGAGUUAACUGUAAAGGUAACGUGUAUUGGUUUCGCUCGAAGCGGCGCG